rnacentral:lncRNA from 1 species
GAGAUCAGGGGUCACCAUGAGAAACCACAAGGAGGCAAGAAGAAAAGUGGUAGGAAAAAUUACCACCCACCGUAGGGCGGUACCACUUUGCCACCGGGCGGUGGCGGUGGAAAGUAAAACCCGAAGCUUUUAAAAGCUGGGUGUUUGAUGGGCCGUCGCAACCCACACAAAUUUGAUUGCAUAUAAGAAAUGCAGUAUAGCUAGGGAAUGAAAGUGUUUUCGCAAAGAAAAUUAAAUUUUGCGAUUCAGAAUCAGGUCUAACACGAAGGUUAGGGGGGUUUGAAAGUGUUUUCGCGAAGAAAAUUAAAUUAAAUUAAAACUAGAAAUUAAAUACAACCAAACAUAAUUGAGAACAUCGAAAUAACUGAACAAAACAUGAAGACCGAACAAUAUCUAAAGCAAGUGGAGAAAUUGGAAUUGCAAGAUAAAGAAACCG